GUGGGGAAUAUUGGACAAUGGGCGAAAGCCUGAUCCAGCCAUGCCGCGUGUGUGAAGAAGGUCUUCGGAUUGUAAAGCACUUUAAGUUGGGAGGAAGGGUAGUAACCUAAUACGUUGCUACUUUGACGUUACCGACAGAAUAAGCACCGGCUAACUUCGUGCCAGCAGCCGCGGUAAUACGAAGGGUGCAAGCGUUAAUCGGAAUUACUGGGCGUAAAGCGCGCGUAGGUGGUUCGUUAAGUUGGAUGUGAAAGCCCCGGGCUCAACCUGGGAACUGCAUCCAAAACUGGCGAGCUAGAGUACGGUAGAGGGUGGUGGAAUUUCCUGUGUAGCGGUGAAAUGCGUAGAUAUAGGAAGGAAAACCAGUGGCGAAGGCGACCACCUGGACUGAUACUGACACUGAGGUGCGAAAGCGUGGGGAGCAAACAGGAUUAGAUACCCGAGUAGUCC
rnacentral:rRNA from 1 species